GCUGGCGGCAGGCCUAACACAUGCAAGUCGAACGAAGCCUUCGGGCUUAGUGGCGGACGGGUUAGUAACGCGUGGGAACGUGCCCUUCUCUACGGAAUAGUCCCGGGAAACUGGGUUUAAUACCGUAUACGCCCUUCGGGGGAAAGAUUUAUCGGGGAAGGAUCGGCCCGCGUCUGAUUAGAUAGUUGGUGGGGUAAUGGCCUACCAAGUCGACGAUCAGUAGCUGGUUUGAGAGGAUGAUCAGCAACACUGGGACUGAGACACGGCCCAGACUCCUACGGGAGGCAGCAGUGGGGAAUCUUAGACAAUGGGCGCAAGCCUGAUCUAGCCAUGCCGCGUGAGUGAUGAAGGCCUUAGGGUCGUAAAGCUCUUUCGCUGGGGAAGAUAAUGACUGUACCCAGUAAAGAAACCCCGGCUAACUCCGUGCCAGCAGCGGGGUUAAUAA
rnacentral:rRNA from 1 species